GACGAACGCUGGCGGCGUGCUUAACACAUGCCAGUCGAACGGAAAGGCCCUGCUUUUGUGGGGUGCUCGAGUGGCGAACGGGUGAGUAACACGUGAGUAACCUGCCCUUGACUUUGGGAUAACUUCAGGAAACUGGGGCUAAUACCGGAUAGGAGCUCCUGCUGCAUGGUGGGGGUUGGAAAGUUUCGGCGGUUGGGGAUGGACUCGCGGCUUAUCAGCUUGUUGGUGGGGUAGUGGCUUACCAAGGCUUUGACGGGUAGCCGGCCUGAGAGGGUGACCGGCCACAUUGGGACUGAGAUACGGCCCAGACUCCUACGGGGGGCAGCAGUGGGGAAUAUUGCACAAUGGGCGGAAGCCUGAUGCAGUAACGCCGCGUGCGGGAUGACGGCCUUCGGGUUGUAAACCGCUUUCGCCUGUGACGAAGCGUGAGUGACGGUAAUGGGUAAAGAAGCACCGGCUAACUACGUG
rnacentral:rRNA from 1 species